rnacentral:rRNA from 1 species
AACGAACGCUGGCGGCGUGCUUAACACAUGCAAGUCGAACGCGAAAGGUUCUUUCGGGAACCGAGUAGAGUGGCGCACGGGUGAGUAACGCGUAAGUUAUCUACCUCGGCAUCUGGAAUAACUCACCGAAAGGUGUGCUAAUACCGGAUACGUUGAGUAAUCAAGAAAGGUGGCCUCUGCAUAUGCUACCGUGCUGGGAUGAGCUUGCGUACCAUUAGCUAGUUGGUAGGGUAAUGGCCUACCAAGGCGACGAUGGUUAGCGGGUCUGAGAGGAUGAACAGCCACACUGGAACUGGAACACGGACCAGACUCCUACGGGAGGCAGCAGUGGGGAAUAUUGCGCAAUGGGGGAAACCCUGACGCAGCGACGCCGGGUGGAUGAUGAAGGCCUUCGGGUCGUAAAAUCCUGUCAGGUGGAAAGAAAUGUCUAUGUGCUAAUAUCAUGUAGGCUUGACGGUACCACCGAAGGAAGCACCGGCUAACUCCGUGCCAGCCGCCGCCGUAAUAC